UGAAAUAGCUCAAUUGGUAGAGCAACUGAAUCGUAAUCAGUAGGUUGUGGGUUCAAUUCCUAUUUUCAGC
rnacentral:tRNA from 3 species